rnacentral:rRNA from 14 species
AAGAGUUUGAUCAUGGCUCAGAUUGAACGCUGGCGGCAGGCCUAACACAUGCAAGUCGAACGGUAACAUUUCUAGCUUGCUAGAAGAUGACGAGUGGCGGACGGGUGAGUAAUGCUUGGGAACUUGCCUUUGCGAGGGGGAUAACAGUUGGAAACGACUGCUAAUACCGCAUAAUGUCUUCGGACCAAACGGGGCUUCGGCUCCGGCGCAAAGAGAGGCCCAAGUGAGAUUAGCUAGUUGGUAAGGUAACGGCUUACCAAGGCGACGAUCUCUAGCUGUUCUGAGAGGAAGAUCAGCCACACUGGGACUGAGACACGGCCCAGACUCCUACGGGAGGCAGCAGUGGGGAAUAUU